GCCAGCAUGGCAUAGUGGUUUGAAUGCUGGACUAUGGCUCUGGAGACCAUGGUUCAAUGCCCAGCUUGGGCA